rnacentral:rRNA from 1 species
UACGGGGGGAGCAAGCGUUGUUCGGAUUUACUGGGCGUAAAGGGCGCGUAGGCGGCGUGACAAGUCACUUGUGAAAUCUCCGGGCUUAACCCGGAGCGGCCAAGUGAUACUGUCGUGCUAGAGUGCGGAAGGGGCUACUGGAAUUCCUGGUGUAGCGGUGAAAUGCGCAGAUAUCAGGAGGAACACCGGUGGCGAAGGCGGGUCUCUGGGCCGUAACUGACGCUGAGGAGCGAAAGCAUGGGGAGCGAACAGG